ACGAGGACUGGGAUCUUUGUGGUUUUGCUAUAUUCACCCGACAGCGAAUCCAGCGUGUGUGGCGGUGUGAUUCCUUUCUGCCACGCUAACUCACUCUGCAGCAGUUUCCGUGGGUGAGGAAUCCAGCCCAGCCUGACUGAAUGCCUCUCUUCAGAGUCUCUCCCAAGUCUGCAAUCAAGGGGUCAGCCGGGAUGGCAGCCUUCUCAAGGCUCAACGAGGGGAGGAUCCAAUUCCAAGGAUGAAAUGGAUUCUAGAGAUGGCUGAUUGUAAUGGCUACACAACAAAAUGAAUGCACUUAGGUCUCGAAAACUCCAGAACAUCACAGGCAACCUGCCCAAGUUUCCUGAGGGAGAAGCCAGACCGGGAGAGACUUUGUCGUCAUGAUUCCUACAAGGACCAACAAUUGAGAAUCUGGCAGUAUUUGCACAUAUUGUAGGAACGAAAAAGAAAGGAGCAAAUGGACACAAUCACCUCCAAAAAGUGAUAACAUUCAAUAAUAAGAUGACACUGGCUGACAUUCAGAAGACAUUGGAUAUCUUCUCUUCUAGGGCUUGGAAUUUUUCUACCCAGCUAAGAAGGCAACAACCCCAAGAUCCCUCCAUGGAAAUGGCGCUGAGUGUGUGAUCCUGCAGACAUAUUGCCACCAAGGGAAUACCUGCCUGAGAAGGACCAGAAGCAGAAAGUGGAGCCCAAUACAGAAGGAGUGGGGACCUAACGAUAUACUUUCAGGUGUCUCUCAGGGUCUCAGGCUUCCUAAUUGAAAUGUGCCGAAGCAAUUGAAAUGUGGUACCUCAAUUACUGUCAGACACCGUAACCUUUAGACCAGCUAGAAUCUUGUCGUGAGAGGAGACCGUGUACGUUGGUGAAAGUUUAGAAAAAAGAAUCCCCCUUGUUCAAUCAGCUAACAAAGACCCAUGGAGUAGCCCGGUGGGGGCCCCAAAGAAGAUGCAAAGAAGAAAAACACAAUCUUUGCCCUGAAGGAGUCGUCAUCUUUUGAGGAAACAAAACAUCAUGUCAUAGUUAUACUGUAGUGAGCUCAAGCUCUCAAACCCAAUAAAAUAUGGGAUAUUCA